UACGUAGGGGGGCAAGCGUUGUCCGGAUUCAUUGGGCGUAAAGAGCGUGUAGGCGGCCAGGUAGGUCGGUUGUGAAAACUGGAGGCUCAACCUUCAGAGGUCGACCGAAACCAUCUGGCUAGAGUCCGGGAGAGGAGAGUGGAAUUCCUGGUGUAGCGGUGAAAUGCGCAGAUAUCAGGAAGAACACCCGUGGCGAAAGCGGCUCUCUGGACAUGUAUUGACGCUGAGGUGCGAAAGCGUGGGGAGCAAACAGG
rnacentral:rRNA from 1 species